UGCGCACGGACGGCCCAGAUCUCACGCGUACGGACGGCCCAGAUUCAAUCAGGCACGGACGGCCCAGAUUGCAUCGCGAUGGACGACCCAGAUUUAAUCCCAAAUAAAUCGCGAUCGGACGGUCCAGAUUAAAUCUUGAUGGACGGUUGAGAUUAAAAGGGAAAGGGUAUAAAUAACCUCACCCACACCCGACCACAAAACCCUAGCCGCCAGUGCCUCGCCGGAGAAGAAGAACCAAAUGCCGGAGGAGCUGGCCGCCGCCGCACCGAAAAAUUUUCUGACUGCCAAACGAGGUAAAUUUUCUCUCCUUGGCUCGUUUUUCGAUGCUGAAUCCGCCUAUGGCCAAAUCGGAGCCAAACCACUAGCCAAUCGGUCGAAAAACACCGUUGUGGCUUCCUUCCGUUUUUGCCUCCGAUGAGGCCCUUCUCGGUCUCCGUUCGAUGUAAUUUUUAUACCACUGUGAUCACCGUCAUUUUCUCUACAGGUUGACCGGAGCAAAAUAUCAAAACGCGACUCGCGCCGAAGAAGCUGCUGCAUCCGAGAGCACCGCCACUAGUAAGUCUCGGUUUUGCGUGAUUUUUUGGCCCACCGAGGGCCCUAGGGUUGUUUUAUCGCAGGGACCAAUGCAAGUUUGGCCGAAUUCGGCCGAAAACACCCAAAAAUGGCUAACCCGAGGU
rnacentral:lncRNA from 1 species